AAAUACACAAAUAAACCGAUCAGGUCGUUAAAUAAAGAUUUUCACGUUUUAGGCAAUAGUGCCUCCCAGUAGAACAAACAACACAGUGGUUUUUUUGGUUUUACCCAUUUUUCGCUCAAUUUGUCUUCUAAUUCAUGAAAAAACCUUCGGCCAUCAGAAUUUUACUUCGAUCGCGGGUGUAAAUACAUUCCAUCAAGUGAUUGUUUUAUCGAAUUAAACACUUUUGUAUGUUCUGCAUGAUUUCUAUCCAUAUCCUUGUGUAAUUUCUAUUGUGAUGCUCCAUUACAGCUCGCAGAUCUAAUUCUCAAGCUCUCAGAUUCUUGUACUACGUACUUUUGUAAACCAAUUGUUGGAUUGACCGACUGAACAUCAUUAACUUUUCUCUAACCCAUCGUAACCUCUCUCUUAAACCAAAUUAUUAGAAUUGAGGAACAGAGAAUAAACAGAGACAAAGUAGAGGAAAACAAAGAGAGAAAAGACUAUAGAUUAGAAGAGAAGUCUAGGAAGAAAACUAGCAGAUUCCAUUUAUCACUCAACAAGGGUUUACAAAGAAAGGCCUCACGCUUAUAUAUUGUCAGCUGAGUCUUGAAGUCACACAAAUAAUGCUGGUACAAAAAUGCAGCUGGAAAAUAAAAAUGCAAUCAACAUAGAAAAGGAAUAAAAUUGUACCUAGUUUCUCUAUCUGCUCUUCCCGCCAAAACCCUUCAAAACUUUUUCAAAAUAAUUCCUUCUUUGUUUCAAACUCAUGUAUCACCCCAUUAAAACUAAUUAUGUUAGAAUUCCUCUUACCCAAUUAUUAGUGUUUAGAGUCCAAAAUUCUUAAAUAAAAGUUUCCAAUGGCCUCUCUAAUAUUUUCUCCCUUAUAUAUUGUAUAUAUGUUACUCAACUGCAGGAAUUCAAUAAGGAAUUAGAGGAUCGAGGGGCUGUUUAAGAGUUCGAGGACUCGAGAAUUCAGCUAUGGAGUUGCGAAGAAGAAAAUGUAAAAAGAGGAAAAGAGAGAGAGAGAGAGAGAGAGGAAGAGAUUUUAGAGGAAAUUGUAAUAGUUUUAUAUAUGGUUUGUAUCUAUGAAUUAUAAUGCUAUAUUAGAAUUGAA
rnacentral:lncRNA from 1 species